rnacentral:rRNA from 1 species
AAGCCUGAUGGAGCAACGCCGCGUGAGUGAAGAAGGUUUUCGGAUCGUAAAGCUCUGUUGUUGGUGAAGAAGGAUAGAGGUAGUAACUGGCCCCUAUUUGACGGUAAUCAACCAGAAAGUCACGGCUAACUACGUGCCAGCAGCCGCGGUAAUACGUAGGUGGCAAGCGUUGUCCGGAUUUAUUGGGCGUAAAGCGAGCGCAGGCGGAAAGAUAAGUCUGAUGUGAAAGCCCCCGGCUUAACCGAGGAAUUGCAUCGGAAACUGUGUUACUUGAGUGCAGAAGAGGAGAGUGGAACUCCAUGUGUAGCGGUGGAAU